rnacentral:rRNA from 1 species
GAGUUUGAUCCUGGCUCAGGAUGAACGCUGGCGGCGUGCUUAACACAUGCAAGUCGAGCGAAGCACUUAAGUUUGAUUCUUCGGAUGAAGACUUUUGUGACUGAGCGGCGGACGGGUGAGUAACGCGUGGGUAACCUGCCUCAUACAGGGGGAUAACAGUUAGAAAUGGCUGCUAAUACCGCAUAAGACCACAGUACUGCAUGGUACAGUGGUAAAAACUCCGGUGGUAUGAGAUGGACCCGCGUCUGAUUAGGUAGUUGGUGAGGUAACGGCCCACCAAGCCGACGAUCAGUAGCCGACCUGAGAGGGUGACCGGCCACAUUGGGACUGAGACACGGCCCAGACUCCUACGGGAGGCAGCAGUGGGGAAUAUUGCACAAUGGGCGAAAGCCUGAUGCAGCGACGCCGCGUGAAGGAUGAAGUAUUUCGGUAUGUAAACUUCUAUCAGCAGGGAAGAAAAUGACGGUACCUGACUAAGAAGCCCCGGCUAACUACGUGCCAGCCGCCGCGGUAAUUC